rnacentral:tRNA from 1 species
AGUAGGAAUUUCAUGUGUGUGAAUUUUACACUGUAAAUGUAAAGGAGAUCUUAUAGAUCCCUACUA